rnacentral:rRNA from 1 species
CGGAUCUGGUGCGUGGUGGCCUGGCUGUUCAACCCCUUCACCUUCACCAUCGGCACCAGAGGGAACUGCGAGCCCAUCAUCUGCGCCGCCAUGCUCUGGAUCCUCAUCUGUUUGAUGAAGGGUGUAAGCUCUGAAUCCUUUUUUUUAUGUCUAUUCAGUGAUAGCUACCUUUGUGAACUACUAGCUCUGAAUAUUUUGCAGUCGUGUGAUCUGCUGAUUCUUACUUGUCAAAACUCGGAAUAUUUCUCUUCAAAUUUUAGUAGGUAUAUAAUUGGUCUGAAAGUUGCGAUGAUGCUCUGCACAUUUAGUUCAUUAUGUUUAGUCUGUAAAGUAUCUUCCGUUUAG